rnacentral:lncRNA from 1 species
GGGAGCUGGGAGAUGACUAAUAAAGGUAUGUUUCUGGGUUCUGGCAUGCUCCCUGCCCUGCUGGGCUUCCUGUCCCAGGAGGCCUUGGGGAGGAGCCUACAGGUCAUGCCUCUACUUGAAGAGUCCUUCCAUCUCUCAGGAUGGCUUUUUAUUUUGUCUUGGCCAAUUCAAGAUUCCAAAAGAUGAAAAAAAGCAGAGUACAUAUCAAACCAUUCCCAGAAUGGAACUUUAGGAUAAUUUAGGGAUGAGUGAGUCAGAUACACGUGGAUUACAUUUUCCUCUAACUAUAUACUUGGUUAGAAAAUCCUAGGCUAGGACUUGGGGGUGAUGGGUCCUGUUUGGCACACCCAAGUCAUUAUAAAGGGGUAAAAUGUGUGUUCACGUCCCGGUCUCUGAUCAUUCGACAAGGUCUAGACACCUCUGCUCAAGACUGCGUAUUCCGAUGACUGCAGACCCCUGGAACAAACUCCUAGGAGGAAUGAGAAGGAGGUUGAAUUCCCCCCUUCUCCCUUCUAAGUGUGACUUCCCACCUCAACUCGACCUAACUUGGACCCUCAGAUCUUGGCUCAACACGACACUCCUUCUGCUGGCCAUGCUUCCUCGCUUUGAGUCCACCAUUGCAGAAGAGUAGGCUGCCCUGAUCGCAGCUGCCACUCCUUCAGUCUGAAGAAGGAAAACGAAAGGAAGGCGUGGGGGAGAUGUAUUCCCAAAAAGAAAAAACUCUCUCCUCCUUGAUGUGUCAUGAAAGAUGCACAGGAUUUAAUGUCAGAAGACACAUACCAGACACGCAACUCUUCACUUAUGGUCUGUGUGAUCCCAGCCCCACUGAGCCUCAGUUUCCUUCCCUGUAAAAACUAAAUACAAAAGCUGUUUCAUUUAGUUGUUGUGAAGAUUAAUUUGAAAAAACAUAUGAACGAUCAUAACAAAGAGGCAAAUACUACACUGAGGCUACUACUGUUCUUUUCUCUUCCUGUUCCCCUCACACCUCUCAAGCGCAGGCAGGCCCGGGCCAAACCUGGGGAAAGGCAGUUUUAUCCUUGCUAAGUCAUGGAGUGCUAUCUCCCCCUUGCCAAUCAG